rnacentral:misc_RNA from 1 species
GGAAGGAUCAUUACUGAAUGGACCCGAUUGGCGUCCGCCUCCCUACUGGUGGGCUGUUCAGGAAUUGGGGUACCUUUUCAAGAGGUUGAGUUGGUUAGCGUGGUCUACCACACCGGCCUUUUUUUCUUUACCAAACAAAACCUGUCAUCGUAUGUUGGUGGGCUUCCCCUUGUUGGGUUGCCCUUAAAUAUGUGAAUAUAACUUUCAACAACGGAUCUCUUGGCUCUCGCAUCGAUGAAGAACGCAGCGAAAUGCGAUAAGUAAUGUGAAUUGCAGAAUUCAGUGAAUCAUCGAAUCUUUGAACGCACCUUGCGCUCCUUGGCAUUCCGAGGAGCAUGCCUGUUUGAGUGUCGUUGAAUUCUCAUAACCCUACCUGAUCUUUCUUGAAGGAUCGGGGAGGGAGGGGUGGACUGGGAAAAAUUUGCCCCGUGGCAACUGCUGGCUGGCCGCUGGUGGAGGUCGGGGGGGGCCCUGGUCUUACUUACUACUGACCGUCAGGCCGGGUUGUGGAUCGGUGGAGGUCUUUGCAGGUCGGUCGAGGUGUUUGACCACUCUGCUCCUCUGAAAUGCAUUUGGCAGAAUCGCCAUACUCACGCAUGCACCUGUCAUCGGUAUGAUACGUCUUACCUGCUUGUCAGUGCGUGCUGUGCAAUCUCUCAUGAUUUGACCUCAAAUCAGGCAGGACUACCCGCUGAACUUAAGCAUAUCAAUAAGCGGAGGAAAAGAAACUAACAAGGAUUCCCCUAGUAACUGCGAGUGAAGCGGGAAGAGCUCAAAUUUAAAAUCUGGCGGCCGUCUGGCCGUCCGAGUUGUAAGCUCGAGAGGCGCCGUCCGCGCUGGGGCCAUGUACAAGUCUCCUGGAACGGAGCGUCAUAGAGGGUGAGAAUCCCGUCUCUGACAUGGGCCUCCCAGGGCAUCGCGAUGGCGCCCUCAAAGAGUCGAGUUGUUUGGGAAUGCAGCUCCAAAUGGGUGGUAAACUCCAUCUAAAGCUAAACAUUGGCGAGAGACCGAUAGCGAACAAGUACCGUGAGGGAAAGAUGAAAAGAACUUUGGAAAGAGAGUUAAACAGUACGUGAAAUUGUUGAAAGGGAAACGCUUGGAGUCAGUCGCGUCGGCCUGGGAUCAGCCUCGCAGCUGCGAGGCGCACUCCCUGGUCGACGGGUCAGCACCAGUUUCGACCGUUGGAGAAAGGUCGGGGGAAUGUGGCAUCCUCGGAUGUGUUUACAGCCCUCGACCACAUGCACCGGUUGGGAUUGAGGAACUCAGCGCGCCGCAAAGGCCGGGUUUCAAACCACGUCCGCGCUCAGGAUGCUGGCACAAUGGCUUUAAUCGACCCGUCUUGAAACACGGACCAAGGAGUCUAACAUGCCUGCGAGUGUUUGGGUGGAAAACCCAUGCGCGCAAUGAAAGUGAAAGUUGAGAUCUCCGUCGUGGAGAGCAUCGACGCCCGGACCAGACCUCCUGCGACGGAUCCGCGGUGGAGCAUGCAUGUUGGGACCCGAAAGAUGGUGAACUAUGCCUGAAUAGGGUGAAGCCAGAGGAAACUCUGGUGGAGGCUCGUAGCGAUUCUGACGUGCAAAUCGAUCGUCGAAUUUGGGUAUAGGGCGAAAGACUAAUCGAACCAUCUAGUAGCUGGUUCCUGC